rnacentral:tRNA from 1 species
GCGAUUGUGGCGAAGGGGUUAACGCACCGGUUUGUGGUUCCGGCAUACAUGGGUUCAAUUCCCAUCAGUCGCCCCA